rnacentral:lncRNA from 1 species
UUAGGCCCAGAUUUUUGUGAAAAUUAAACAAGAUGAUCUAUAUAAAUCAUGUAGUAAAGUGUCCAGCAUGCAGUAAAUUUUGAUAAACUGUAGGUAUUAUAUCAGCAGGGCCUGGGCUGACAAGGAGUUUUUGUUUUAUUCUUAGGUGGUGUUUCUCUGAGAUGAAAUACAUAAAACCUUUUAUUUCAGCUGGCUGCUAUAUAAUGUGAUGUGCAUGCAGAGAACGUCA